rnacentral:rRNA from 1 species
AGUGAACGCUGGCGGUAGGCCUAACACAUGCAAGUCGAACGGCAGCACAGUAAGAGCUUGCUCUUACGGUGGCGAGUGGCGGACGGGUGAGGAAUACAUCGGAAUCUACUUUUUCGUGGGGGAUAACGUAGGGAAACUUACGCUAAUACCGCAUACGACCUACGGGUGAAAGCAGGGGAUCUUCGGACCUUGCGCGAUUGAAUGAGCCGAUGUCGGAUUAGCUAGUUGGCGGGGUAAAGGCCCACCAAGGCGACGAUCCGUAGCUGGUCUGAGAGGAUGAUCAGCCACACUGGAACUGAGACACGGUCCAGACUCCUACGGGAGGCAGCAGUGGGGAAUAUUGGACAAUGGGCGCAAGCCUGAUCCAGCCAUACCGCGUGGGUGAAGAAGGCCUUCGGGUUGUAAAGCCCUUUUGUUGGGAAAGAAAAGCAGCAGGUUAAUACCCCGCUGUUCUGACGGUACCCAAAGAAUAAGCACCGGCUAACUUCGUG